AUGAUUAGCAGAUUUAUGAGUAAACCAAAGUGGUCUCAUUAUCAAGCUGCUGUCAAGAUUCUGAGGUAUGUGAAGGAAACUCUAAAGUAUGGAGUGUUAUUUCCGUCUGAAAGAAAAAUCGAAUCAGAACUUUUGAACUAUUCAGACUCUGAUUGGUGCAGAGAUAGAGUUGACAGAAGAAGUACUUCUGGAUACUUAUUCAGAUUUCUAAGAAGUCAUAUUUCUUGA